UGGGCGUAAAGGGCUCGCAGGCGGUUUCUUAAGUCUGAUGUGAAAGCCCCCGGCUCAACCGGGGAGGGUCAUUGGAAACUGGGAAACUUGAGUGCAGAAGAGGAGAGUGGAAUUCCACGUGUAGCGGUGAAAUGCGUAGAGAUGUGGAGGAACACCAGUGGCGAAGGCGACUCUCUGGUCUGUAACUGACGCUGAGGAGCGAAAGCGUGGGGAGCGAACAGGAUUAGAUACCCUGGUAGUCCACGCCGUAAACGAUGAGUGCUAAGUGUUAGGGGGUUUCCGCCCCUUAGUGCUGCAGCUAACGCAUUAAGCACUCCGCCUGGGGAGUACGGUCGCAAGACUGAAACUCAAAGGAAUUGACGGGGGCCCGCACACGCGGUGGAGCAUGUGGU
rnacentral:rRNA from 1 species